CCUACGGUGGCAGCAGUGGGGAAUAUUGGACAAUGGGCGAAAGCCUGAUCCAGCCAUGCCGCGUGUGUGAAGAAGGCCUUCGGGUUGUAAAGCACUUUCAGUGGGGAAGAAAGCCUUGGGGCUAAUACCCUCGAGGAAGGACAUCACCCACAGAAGAAGCACCGGCUAACUCCGUGCCAGCAGCCGCGGUAAUACGGAGGGUGCGAGCGUUAAUCGGAAUUACUGGGCGUAAAGCGCGCGUAGGCGGUCUGAUAAGCCGGUUGUGAAAGCCCCGGGCUCAACCUGGGAACGGCAUCCGGAACUGUCAGGCUAGAGUGCAGGAGAGGAAGGUAGAAUUCCCGGUGUAGCAGUGAAAUGCGUAGAGAUCGGGAGGAAUACCAGUGGCGAAGGCGGCCUUCUGGACUGACACUGACGCUGAGGUGCGAAAGCGUGGGUAGCAAACAGGAUUAGAUACCCGAGUAGUC
rnacentral:rRNA from 1 species